UACGUAGGCAGCGAGCGUUGUUCGGAGUUACUGGGCGUAAAGCGUGCGUAGGCGGUGGCCCAAGUCUGGUGUGAAAUCUCCCGGCUUAACUGGGAGGGUGCGCCGGAAACUGGGUUGCUGGAGUACCGGAGAGGCAAGCGGAAUUCCUGGUGUAGCGGUGAAAUGCGUAGAUAUCAGGAGGAACACCCGUGGUGUAGACGGCUUGCUGGACGGUCACUGACGCUGAGGCACGAAAGCGUGGGGAGCAAACAGG
rnacentral:rRNA from 1 species